rnacentral:lncRNA from 1 species
AAAUUUAAGUUUUAAAUAUAUUGUGAUAAAAUUUAAAAGAAAAAUAUGAUUUUUGGAUAUUAGAUUCUGAGAGAAAUUUGUGAGAUUAAUUGGAUUUGUUGUGGAUCGCCUUCGAUGUAAGUAAUGAACUGACUUUUCUAGACUCUUCAUUUAUAUAAAAUUAUUUUUGUAUCGAAUAAAUUGUUAAUGAAUUUAUAUGUGAUUUAUGAAUUUUACAAGAUGAUGAUUUGAAUGAAAAAUAGAUAUGUGAAUUGGAAUAAUAUUUUUCGGACUAUUGUUAUAUCUACUGGUUUUACAUCAUAUAUGCAUAUUUAGAUUGGAUUAUGAUAUAUCUAUUAUGUUACAAAAAGAAUUUAAUGUGCAUCAGAUUUGGAUCUCUCAGCCUGACUAUUUUCUGGAUCUUACCAAUUGGAGGUUAUGCAUUGGUAAUUCUAACCUCACCACAGGGUAUAAGUGUGGUAUUCUGGCCCACUCCGCAGGGUAUAAGUGCAGUAUUCUGGCCCACUCCGCAGGGUAUAAGUGUGGUAUUCUGGCCCACUCCGCAGGGUAUAAGUGUGGUAUUCUGGCCCACUCCGCAGGGUUUAAGUGCG